rnacentral:rRNA from 1 species
UACGAAGGGGGCUAGCGUUGCUCGGAAUCACUGGGCGUAAAGGGCGCGUAGGCGGCCAUUCAAGUCAGGGGUGAAAUCCUGGAGCUCAACUCCAGAACUGCCUUUGAUACUGAAGAUCUUGAGUUCGGGAGAGGUGAGUGGAACUGCGAGUGUAGAGGUGAAAAUUCGUAGAUAUUCGCAAGAACACCAGUGGCGAAGGCGGCUCACUGGCCCGAUACUGACGCUGAGGCACGAAAGCGUGGGG